rnacentral:rRNA from 1 species
UACGUAGGGUGCAAGCGUUAAUCGGAAUUACUGGGCGUAAAGCGUGCGCAGGCGGUUCUAUAAGACAGAUGUGAAAUCCCCCGGGCUCAACCUGGGAACUGCAUUUGUGACUGUAGAGCUGGAGUACGGCAGAGGGGGGAUGGAAUUCCGCGUGUAGCAGUGAAAUGCGUAGAUAUGCGGGAGGAACACCGAUGGCGAAGGCAAUCCCCCUGGGCCUGUACUGACUCA